GGCCAUUCAAGACAAAUCUAUCUUCAUGUUAAGUGACAAAAGAAGAAGGUUAGCUGGUUGAAUGCUGAUAGGAAAUGCUUUGUGGGAGGAAUAAGCAAGGAAGGACUGAUAACAACUAUUUUACUGGAAGGGAACUGCAGCAAGAGCAGUGAUCUGAUGGAAUGUUGAAAGCCCCUCUAUCCUCCAUGGAGCUUGGUGGCUUCAGCACCUGGAUGGACUCCUUAGGACAACUACAUCCAUCACAAUGUUGGGCAUACCACGGGGCUGAUUCGAAAGGUCUUUGUUCAAAUCUUAGCUCUUCCCAAAUUACACACCUGAUCAUUUAACCUCUCUCCUUGGACACAUCCCAUCAGUUCAAAGAAUCCCUUCAGUUUCCUUGGAAGGUCCCCAGAAAGGCUUGCGGUCUCCCUGAGGUUUGCAUCACAACUUGGCCUAUGGGAAUCCCAGCGUAGGUGAGUUUUUGGUUCCUUUGUUAAUUUGUUUGUGUUUCUCAAAAGAAAUCUCCACCAUAGUUUGGUAACAAUAGUGAAACAAUAAUCAUCUUCAUCAUACAUGUCAGCUUCCUGGAUUCCUACCCUAUGAUGCAGGAGUUACACAUCCCGUGGCAAUCAAUACUUUCUGAAUGAUGGUAUCUUGAACCAGUUUCUGCUAUCAGGUCGUGACCAAACAGAGAGGUAUCUCUAGGAUGCAGAUGGCCUGGAUGGCACUGCUGGCAUGAAGCCUGCCUUCCUCUCUUCCUCACUCAUAGAGAUCCGUGGUUACAAAAUCCUAAUGAGCAAUCAGACUUUGCUGCCACGCUCUAUUCAAACGGCUGUUUAGGUGAAUGGCCACGCUGAAAAGGGUUACCUUCAGCACUCAGCCGGCUGGAGACUCACUCCAUGUUUCCAGUCUAAAUUAACUUGUCUCUAAAGACCAUCUCAUGAAUUCGUUGCUGAGGCUGGAGGGCAGGGAGGUAAUGAAAUGCAGACUUCACCUGUAACCUUCCCAGAUUAAAAAAUACUUUUUGUUUUUUUCUUCUUGCAUACACAAUCCCAGCAUGAGGCCAUCAGCUCAAGGAAGUCUCUCCGGGAAAACAAUGAGAUUUUCUGCAUUUAAUGUAUUCAACUCCACACCUCACUGGGGAAGAUAUGACCCCAAGACCAUGGCUGUGGUGAAACCUUAUCCCACAGACAGAUAGAGGUCAGAGGACAAAUCUCAAAGAUUUCCAUGGCCACAAGAUGUCUGCAACCGCAGUUCCUCAUUGCAGAGAGGGGAGAAUUAAAGUGUGUGUUAGCUCAAGCUUUAAAAACAAUCCUGCCAUUAUCAAAAUAUGC
rnacentral:lncRNA from 7 species